UACGGGGGGGGCAAGCGUUGUUCGGAAUUACUGGGCGUAAAGGGCUCGUAGGCGGCCAACUAAGUCGGAUGUGAAAUCCCCAGGCUUAACCUGGGAACUGCAUCCGAUACUGGAUGGCUUGAAUCCGGGAGAGGUGAGUGGAACUGCGAGUGUAGAGGUGAAAUUCGUAGAUAUUCGCAAGAACACCAGUGGCGAAGGCGGCUCACUGGCCCGGUACUGACGCUGAGGUGCGAAAGCGUGGGGAGCAAACAGG
rnacentral:rRNA from 1 species